AGAGACCCUAUUAUUUCUUGUUGUAAAAAUUAAUUUUGUUUACCUAAGUAUUAUGAAAAUGACUAAAAUAGUUAUUGAUUGUUGUUUAAAACUUAAAAGGUUUGGCGGUUUUACAUAUCCAGUUAGGGGAGUUUGUUAAUAUAAUUUGAUAAUCCMCAUUUUAAACUUACUUUUUUUUGNNNNAAUUAUAUAACGGUUUAUAUAUUGCUGUCGGCAGUUUAUAUUUUAAGAGUAAAAGGACUUUUGAAUUUUAGGAUUUAUAUGUCAAGUCAUAAUGUAGCUGAUAAAGAAGGUUUAAUGGACUACUAUAAUUUAUAUUAUUUACUUAUCCGGAUAAUGAAAAUUAAAUUUUGUUAGUAAGGUGGACUUGAUAG
rnacentral:rRNA from 2 species